rnacentral:rRNA from 1 species
UACGUAGGGAGCAAGCGUUGUCCGGAAUCAUUGGGCGUAAAGCGCGUGUAGGCGGCUUGAUAAGUCUGCUCUGAAAGCCCGGGGCUCAACCCUGGGAGGCGGGUGGAUACUGUCGAGCUCGAGUCCGGAAGAGGCGACUGGAAUUCCUGGUGUAGCGGUGGAAUGCGCAGAUAUCAGGAGGAACACCGGUGGCGAAGGCGGGUCUCUGGGCCGACAUUGACGCUGAGGAGCGAAAGCGUGGGGAGCGAACAGG